GCCCCAGUGGCCUAAUGGAUAAGGCACUGGCCUCCUAAGCCUGGGAUUGUGGAUUCGAGUCCCAUCUGGGGUA